CAAGUCAUCUUUACAUGACUUACUUUGCUGGAUGCAUAGUUCACUAGUCGCCACUGCUGCUAGUGCAAAACUGUCAUGAAGUACAUUCCUGACUUCUGCCAAUAGAUCUCAUGAAGUCAACACCGCAAAAGCUGUCACUCAAUUCUGAUCAUUCCACAUUAGAUUGAAGUUGCAGUCGUCGUUGAAUCCAUUCUCCCUGCAGUGGAGGAGUUUGUUCAUUCUUUGACAUGCACAAAUGAGUCUUCAACCCAAUGAUAUCAGCCUCAUAGAAAGCUGGCUUGUCAUGCUCAGAGGCAAAGGAGAGGAAGAUGGCAAAAGACAAGUCAAUUAGCUUAUGAUGGCAGCUCACAGAUGAGAUAAAAAAAAAUGUGGAACUUCCUCCAAUGGUGUGGAAUAUUCCUGGCAUAUACUCUGCUGAAGUAUGCUGUGUAUCUUUUUUAAAGAGAAAAAGAAGAAGAAGAGAUUGCCUUUGAAAUUUCGUGUUGUGUCUUUCUUAUCAUUCAUAAAGGAGAUUAAUAGUUAAUCAUCAAUUAGAUGGAUGAGGAUUUCAUGUUGAAUAUCUUGUAUUCUUUUUUAUUAAAAAAAAAGCCAUUUUGAGGCUUUUUAUUGGCUUAAA